UACCGACUUCUGCCGAGAUAACAACGUUGGUGGCGGCGGCGUAUGGCUCUUCGAGGUGGCGUCCUCUGCCCCACGUAUGGGCUCCCAAAUCCGCUCCCUUCCAACCGGAGCCGUCGGAACGCCGGCAUGCGACUCGUUUCGAGCACCACCGCUGCCGCCGCGGGUCACCAGAUGCGCCCGCAAAACGUAGAAGGAGAGUUCUUCGUCGUUAAAUUCUACUCAGUUGCGCGGUUACUUUAGGGUCUGGACGUUGAUUGGGUUGGGUUAUCCGAUAGAAGCUGCUAGCUGUGAGGAGGAAAGGGUGAAGGCGCUCCAGGGUUCAGUCUGUUUGUACCACAAACCACUGGAGGUCUUGUUCACCGGGGAUCAUCUCGCAAGUUCAGAACAAUCUCUUGUUGAGAUUGGUGAGUUUUAUAACAGGCAAUCAGUGAGCUUGCAAUUGAGGAGUGUCAGGAAACUACUAGACAUUGGUUUUGUGUGGACCUUACCUGGUCACGGGCGGAGGAUUGCAUUUAGAGAUAACCAAGAGAAAAUUUCAGCUCUAGAAGCUUUCUUGGCUAACAAAGAGCCACCGUUUGCACAACAUUAGAAGACAUGUCAGUGUUGCAUGAGGGGGCAUCUGAACUGCAUCAGGUUUUGAAUUCGAUGCUCGGUCACUGAAGAUAGGCCAAAAAGUUUGAGUUUGUGUGCCCCAUGCGUCAUAAAACUUUGCAUCAUUUCAACUGAAUGAUAUAAACUGUUGCUAUGGAUUCGAAGUCAUUAGAAGUCAUGAAAUCAGGAGUUACUAAUCACUCUGUGCACUGUAUAUAUUCACAUAAAAUUAUCGAAGGAUGUGAAAACUUAUCUACUUUUAUUUUCUGCAGGAUAACUCUGAUUUGUCUGGUAGACUAUAGUUGUUCAGAAUCACUUUGAAUGUUUGAUGCAAGAAGGGAAGAGAGCAGAAGGCAUUUCUCUCUCGGGAGAAUUAUGCCAUUCAUGUUCAGUUGUGGUGUUGACGGGAUUGAUGGUGGUCGGGAUUCUCUGGGUUUCUCCUGUUGUUGGUACAGAAAGCAUUUCUCAAUCUUCACCAUCUUUUUGUCAUAAAGAAUUCUUGAAACUUCUUUUGGUUAAUUAGGAGGAUGAGGAUAUAAAAAAUUUGUAUACGCCAAAAAGAAAUGUUAUUGAUAGGAGACCAAAACUUUUGUUGAUAUAGCCCAUUUUCUAGUGUAUAGCAUUGCUAGUGAUGCCGACAUUUCGGUUAAUUAUUUCCUAUAUAAUUAUAGCCCAUUUUCUAGUGUAUAGCAUUGCUAGCAAUGAAUAUUAGUAUUCAUAUA